GACGAACGCUGGCGGCGUGCCUAAUACAUGCAAGUUGAGCGCUGAAGGUUGGUACUUGUACCAACUGGAUGAGCAGCGAACGGGUGAGUAACGCGUGGGGAAUCUGCCUUUGAGCGGGGGACAACUUUUGGAAACGAAUGCUAAUACCGCAUAAAAACUUUAAACACAAGUUUUAAGUUUGAAAGCUGCAAUUGCAUCACUCAAAGAUGAUCCCGCGCUGUAUUAGCUAGUUGGUGAGGUAAAGGCUCACCAAGGCGAUGAUACAUAGCCGACCUGAGAGGGUGAACGGCCACAUUGGGACUGAGAAACGGCCCAAACUCCCACGGGAGGGAGCAGUAGGGAAGCUUCGGGAAUGGACGAAAGGCUGACCGAGGAACGCCGCGUGAGUGAAGAAGGUUUUCGGAUCGUAAAACUCUGGUGGUAGGGAAGAACGUUGGUGGGAGUGGAAAGCGCAUCAAGUGACGGUAACUACCCAGAAAGGGACGGCUAACUACGUG
rnacentral:rRNA from 1 species